rnacentral:rRNA from 1 species
AUUGAACGCUGGCGGCAGGCCUAACACAUGCAAGUCGAGCGGAUGAAGGGAGCUUGCUCCUGGAUUCAGCGGCGGACGGGUGAGUAAUGCCUAGGAAUCUGCCUGGUAGUGGGGGAUAACGUCCGGAAACGGGCGCUAAUACCGCAUACGUCCUGAGGGAGAAAGUGGGGGAUCUUCGGACCUCACGCUAUCAGAUGAGCCUAGGUCGGAUUAGCUAGUUGGUGGGGUAAAGGCCUACCAAGGCGACGAUCCGUAACUGGCCUGAGAGGAUGAUCAGUCACACUGGAACUGAGACACGGUCCAGACUCCUACGGGAGGCAGCAGUGGGGAAUAUUGGACAAUGGGCGAAAGCCUGAUCCAGCCAUGCCGCGUGUGAAGAAGGUCUUCGGAUUGUAAAGCACUUUAAGUUGGGAGGAAGGGCAGUAAGUUAAUACCUUGCUGUUUUGACGUUACCAACAGAAUAAGCACCGGCUAACUUCGUG